CCCUUAGAUGUUCUGGGCCGCACGCGCGCUACACUGUUCGACGCAGCGAGUCUUAACCUUGACCGAAAGGUUUGGGUAAUCUUCAGCAAAGUCGAACGUGAUGGGGAUCGAUCAUUGCAAUUAUUGAUCGUGAACGAGGAAUUCCUAGUAAGUGCAAGUCAUCAGCUUGCGCUGAUUACGUCCCUGCCCUUUGUACACACCGCCCGUCGCUACUACCGAUUGAAUGGUUUAGUGAGAUCUCUGGAUUGACGCUGGCUAGGGGGCGACCCUUGGCCAGACUGCUCGAGAAACUGCUCAAACUUGAUCAUUUAGAGGAAGUAAAAGUCGUAACA
rnacentral:rRNA from 1 species